rnacentral:rRNA from 11 species
CCUUUGGGCCUAAAUAUCCUAAAGGCACCAAAUCCUAUCUGGUCUUCACUGCUAAUCAUGGGCAGCCCUGGAUAAUACUUGGAUGGUAGACCUCACAUGAACACCAGGUUGCUUUGGGCU